AGUGAACGCUGGCGGUAGGCCUAACACAUGCAAGUCGAACGGCAGCACAGUAAGAGCUUGCUCUUACGGGUGGCGAGUGGCGGACGGGUGAGGAAUACAUCGGAAUCUACUUUUUCGUGGGGGAUAACGUAGGGAAACUUACGCUAAUACCGCAUACGACCUACGGGUGAAAGCAGGGGAUCUUCGGACCUUGCGCGAUUGAAUGAGCCGAUGUCGGAUUAGCUAGUUGGCGGGGUAAAGGCCCACCAAGGCGACGAUCUGUAGCUGGUCUGAGAGGAUGAUCAGCCACACUGGAACUGAGACACGGUCCAGACUCCUACGGGAGGCAGCAGUGGGGAAUAUUGGACAAUGGGCGAAAGCCUGAUCCAGCCAUACCGCGUGAGUGAAGAAGGCCUUCGGGUCGUAAAGCCCUUUUGUUGGGAAAGAAAAGCAGCAGGUUAAUACCCCGCUGUUCUGACGGUACCCAAAGAAUAAGCCCCGGCUAACUUCGUG
rnacentral:rRNA from 1 species